CCUACGGUAGGCAGCAGUGAGGAAUAUUGGGCAAUGGGGGCAACCCUGACCCAGCCAUGCCGCGUGAGUGAAGAAGGUCUUCGGAUUGUAAAGCUCUUUCGGACGUGACGAUGAUGACGGUAGCGUCUAAAGAAGCACCGGCAAACUUCGUGCCAGCAGCCGCGGUAAUACGAAGGGUGCGAGCGUUGUUCGGAAUUACUGGGCGUAAAGGGAGUGUAGGCGGAUAUGUAAGAUAGCGGUGAAAUGCCGGGGCUCAACCCCGGAACUGCCAUUAUGACUAUGUAUCUAGAGUAAUGGAGAGGAUAGCGGAAUACCCAGUGUAGAGGUGAAAUUCGUAGAUAUUGGGUAGAACACCGGUGGCGAAGGCAUCUCACGAAUCCGCGAUUGACGCUGAUGCACGAAAGCGUGGGUAUCAAACAGGAUUAGAUACCCUAGUAGUC
rnacentral:rRNA from 1 species